AAACAGAUUCGGAUGUCAUUUAAAACUGUCAAGAUGACCAACAAGGAAGGUGUGUUCUUGGAUAUUGAUUUAUUAUUUAUGUUUUUAGAUCUUUAUUUUUAGUCGACGGCGAGCAAGCUUGCGAUCCGCGGCUUGCAGCUAUGUUAGCAGCCCAUCUUGUCAGUCAGGUUUUAGAUGAAGCUUUUGUGAUAGCUAAUGCUACUGCUGAGAAGGGUGAAAAGGGUCAUCCGUGGCAUUAUCAGUCAAUGUUGAAAAAUUUUGAGAGUGAUAAACAGUGUGAUGCUGAUGAUGAAGACACAUCGUUCGAGGCGUCAAAGGGCGACAGUGACAUCGUGAAUGAAAAUAAGAUAGAGCAUGUUGCCAAUGUAGUUGCUUCAUCGACGCCGGAAAAAGUUACAGAUGAUUUACAAAAAAAUAAGCCAGAGCCUAAUCUCAUCGGGCAAGGAGACGAAGAGCUUGAUUUGCGUCAAAAUGAGUUAACGAAAUCCACGUCAAUGUUUAUCAAUCAUCUUUUUGACAUGAGUGAGGUUGAAAAAGUAAUAAUAUUCGAUGAUACCGAAAUUAUGCAAAAUAAUUCGGAGCCAAAUGAGUUGCUCACUGAAGCAAUGAACAAAAUUAUGGAGUCGUAUGUGAACACGGCGUUGGGUAUGACAAUGGAGCAGCCUUCACAUUCGAUGGCGGGAAUGACGUCGGUGCUGGUGGAGAAAACAGAAAACAGCCCUGAACCUUCCGAGUAUUCGUUUUUGACAGAUGCUUUUGCAGAGGACAUCAGUAAAGAUGUUGCAUUUUAUAUACAUGACGAUGGAUCUGGUGAUAUUGAUAGAAGCAGUGCACGUUCUCAUCUUGUUCCCAAUGUAGAAAUAAGAGAGCUUUGUGAAGACGAUAUCCCUGAGAAAUUAGUCGAGAGUAAUGACGUUGCACGAUAUGAAAAUGCAUUCCUUAGUUUGAAUCGUGAUUAUGAACAAAAUUCCGAAGAUGAGGUGGAUCCUAUAUUAGAAGAUCCAAAAGGUAUGACUCUCCAAGAAGUGGAAUUAAUGACUGCUGAUACGUCUGAAGAAAAUUUAUCAACUAAUCGUGAUGAAGAAUCUCACAUUUGUCCAAUGAUGAAGGAGUUAGUAGCAGCAGAAUCAGGAGUGUCUGCAGUGCCAAGUGGGUCUAAAAAAAGUUCGCUCGUCAGUAGGUGCCGCUCUCAAGGCGCGAGGCUCCUGGCUUGCAUCCGAGGAUGGUGGCGACGCAGGACUCCCGGGAAACGCAAGGAGAAUCGGGUGCCGUUUGCUGCUCGUGGUUUAUGUCCGUUAUCUCCGGAUGCUAGACGUAGAGCUGCAAGUCUUUUGGAUCAACGUCUUCUUCGGUCGCCCUCACCCAGCCGAGAUGUCGUCUGGAAGUUUAACACGGUCAACGAGUCGUUCGUCCAUUCUUCACGUUGGAAGGGCUAUACUUUCGAUGUAAAACCUGAUGAGUGCGGCGAGUACUGACUGUCUUACCACGAAAUCGGUCAAAUCUAUCUGUUUAUCCUAUUUGGUUCAUCUUGUGACAAUAAAGGUGUACUGUGUGUCCGACGACGCUAUGGAAACGGACCAACUCCGCCGAAAAUAGAACGGUCGCGGAUUCCUGGGCUAAAUCUCAAAUAUCCAGACGGGUGCGCCAUCUAAGCCAGUUAAAACAGUCCCGCGAAAAGUUACCGAGCCCC